rnacentral:rRNA from 1 species
UAAACAUUGACAGUUAAUUACACCCACUGUCCGCCUGGGAACUACGAGCACCAGCUUAAAACCCAAAGGACUUGGCGGUGCUUUAGACCCACCUAGAGGAGCCUGUUCUAGAACCGAUAAUCCCCGUUAAACCUCACCCUUCCUUGUCAUUUCCGCCUAUAUACCACCGUCGCCAGCUUACCCUGUGAAGGCCCAAUAGUAAGCGCAAUCGGCAAUGCCCAAAACGUCAGGUCGAGGUGUAGCGUAUGGAAGGGGAAGAAAUGGGCUACAUUUACUAACACAGUAAAUACGGAUGAUUACCCUGCAACGAGUAUCUGAAGGAGGAUUUAGCAGUAAGCAAAAAGCAGAGUGUUUUGCUGAAAUUGGC